GAGUUCAUCAUUCAAGUUAUUACUAAAUCCUGUACAUAGGUUCUUUUGUUUAUUUUUGGCAGAUAGCUGAGAAGAUAUGAAUGGUGAGAGGUGAUAUGAGCAUUUUCUGGAUUGCAAGUCAAUGUAGGCAGUUUUUCAGAAUAACAGCCAGAUGAGCCACCCGCUUC
rnacentral:lncRNA from 1 species